AGACGAACCGCCCAAACGUUAUUCGGAAUCACUGGGCUUAAAGGGUGCGUAGGCGGCACGGAAAGUUGGGUGUGAAAUCCCUCGGCUUAACCGAGGAACUGCGCCCAAAACUAUCGUGCUAGAGGGAGAUAGAGGUAAGCGGAACUGAUGGUGGAGCGGUGAAAUGCGUUGAUAUUAUCAGGAACACCGGUGGCGAAGGCGGCUUACUGGAUCUCUUCUGACGCUGAGGCACGAAAGCUAGGGGAGCGAACGGGAUUAGAAACCCCGGUAGUCC
rnacentral:rRNA from 1 species